UACGAAGGGGACUAGCGUUGUUCGGAAUUACUGGGCGUAAAGCGCACGUAGGCGGAUUUGUUAGUCAGGGGUGAAAGCCCAAGGCUCAACCUUGGAAUUGCCUUUGAUACUGAGGGCCUUGAGACCGGAAGAGGUCGGCGGAACUGCGAGUGUAGAGGUGAAAUUCGUAGAUAUUCGCAAGAACACCAGUGGCGAAGGCGGCCGACUGGUCCGGUUCUGACGCUGAGACGCGAAAGCGUGGGGAGCAAACAGG
rnacentral:rRNA from 1 species